rnacentral:rRNA from 1 species
GCUCAAAUUUAAAAUCUCCCAGGUUCCCUGGGCGAAUUGUAGUUUAAAGAAACGUUUUCUGAGAUGGGCUCGGACCAAGUCUGCUGGAAGGCAGCGCCAUAGAGGGUGAUAGCCCCGUAGGUUCCUGCAUCCAUUUCUUUAUGAUUGCGUUUUCUAAGAGUCGUACAGUUUGAGAAUGCUGUGCUAAAUGGGAGGUAAAUAUCUUCUAAAGCUAAAUACUGGCGAGAGACCGAUAGCGAACAAGUACCGUGAGGGAAAGAUGAAAAGAACUUUGAAAAGAGAGUUAAAUAGUACGUGAAAUUGUCUAAAGUGAAACGUUUGAAACCAGUAUCGGGGGAGGACGGACAACCGCAAGGUGCAUUCGUUCUUUUCUGUGCCAGCGACAGUUUUGUUGGGGGUAAAUCUUCCUGGGAAUGUAGCUCUUCGGAGUGUUAUAGCCCGGGGUGGGGUGCCUUCGGUGGGACUGAUGACAGCCGUAGCCUUGGGGAAGUAGCCGCUUUGAGGCGACCGUUUGUGGACAACUUGUUGAUCAUGAAUGAAUCGUUUUAGACACGGUUGCGUACCACUAACUACGUAGGUCGCUGGUGAAAUGGUUUUAAGCGACCCGUCUUGAAACACGGACCAAGGAGUUCUACAAAUGCGCGAGUCUUUGGGUGUCAAACCCGAGGGCGAAAUGAAAGUAAACGUAGGUGUGAUCCGCAAGGUGCAACAUCGACCGGACUGGAUUUUUUUGAAAGUUCUGAGUAAGAGCGCAUUUGCAGAGACCCGAAAGAUGGUGAACUAUACCUGAGUAGGGUGAAGUCAGAGG